UUUAGAACAGAUUACUUCGGUUUGAAGUUCUUUAUGACUGAGUGGCGGACGGGUGAGUAACGCGUGGGUAACCUGCCUUGUACUGGGGGAUAGCAGCUGGAAACGGCUGGUAAUACCGCAUAAGCGCACAAUGUUGCAUGACAUGGUGUGAAAAACUCCGGUGGUAUGAGAUGGACCCGCGUCUGAUUAGCUUGUUGGCGGGGUAACGGCCCACCAAACCUUCGAUGGAUAGGGGUUCUGAGAGGAAGGUCCCCACAUUGGAACUGAGACACGGUCCAAACUCC
rnacentral:rRNA from 1 species